GGGAAGUCAGGUAAUGCAAGUCCUUUCAAGCUAUGGUAGUAAUUUUUGUUUUGAUCCAUACUGCAAAGGGAAGACUUGACAGUGUCAGAUGAUCUGAUCUGCAUUUUCAAAAGGUUAUUAUGACUGCACAGUGAUAAAUGGAUAGGAAACAUCAUGGCGAAAGAAUAAGAGUGGAUGUAUGGAGAUCAGUUAUGAGGCUGUUUUAGUUGUCUAGAAUUUGAGCCAAUAUAGAGACCAUUGCACCCCAGUCUAAAUCUGACUUUCCUCUGGAGAGUAAGAAGAAAAGGAAGGAGGAGGAAACAUGGACGAUUCUGGCAGAGAGAAGCCGUUACCCAGUGUGGUCCAUGACACAUCUUGGUUGGUUUAGCGAAUGAUACUUGUAAUCAAAUCUCCUAUCAAUAUACAAGAUGCGUGUUUUGGCUAUUAGGUUUGCGUUUAGAACAGAAUAAAAGAAUCAUGAUUGGAAUACAUUGAAUAGGUAGAGUUUGAGAAGACUAGAUAAGUGUUG
rnacentral:lncRNA from 1 species